GACUUCUCCACUGUCUCAACCACGAACUCGGCGAAAUUGCACUACGAGUAAAGAUGCUCGUUACGCGCAGCAGGACGGAAAGACCCCGGGACCUUUACUACAGCUUGGUAUUGGUGUUCGGUACGGCUUGUGUAGGAUAGGUGGGAGACUGUGAAGCAUGCACGCCAGUGUGUGUGGAGUCAACGUUGAAAUACCACUCUGGUCGUUCUGGAUAUCUAACCUCGGUCCGUGAUCCGGAUCAGGGACAGUGCCUGGUGGGUAGUUUAACUGGGGCGGUUGCCUCCUAAAAGGUAACGGAGGCGCCCAAAGGUUCCCUCAGCCUGGUUGGCAAUCAGGUUUUGAGUGUAAGUGCACAAGGGAGCUUGACUGUGAGACAGGCAUGUCGAGCAGGGACGAAAGUCGGGACUAGUGAUCCGGCGGUGGCUUGUGGAAGCGCCGUCGCUCAACGGAUAAAAGGUACCCCGGGGAUAACAGGCUGAUCUUGCCCAAGAGUCCAUAUCGACGGCAUGGUUUGGCACCUCGAUGUCGGCUCGUCGCAUCCUGGGGCUGGAGUAGGUCCCAAGGGUUGGGCUGUUCGCCCAUUAAAGCGGUACGCGAGCUGGGUUUAGAACGUCGUGAGACAGUUCGGUCCCUAUCCGCUGUGCGCGUAGGAAACUUGAGAAGAGCUGUCCCUAGUACGAGAGGACCGGGAUGGACGAACCUCUGGUGUGUCAGUUGUUCUGCCAAGAGCACGGCUGAUUAGCUACGUUCGGAAGUGAUAACCGCUGAAAGCAUCUAAGCGGGAAGCACGCUUCAAGAUGAGGUUUCCAUGGGCUUCGGCCCGAGAGGCUCCCAGCUAGACUACUGGGUUGAUAGGCCAGACGU
rnacentral:rRNA from 1 species